GUAACCUGCCCUUGACUCUGGGAUAACAGCUGGAAACAGCUGCUAAUACCGGAUAUCAGCCUCGAUGGCAUCUUCGAGGCUUGAAAGCUCCGGCGGUCAUGGAUGGACUCGCGGCCUAUCAGCUUGUUGGUGAGGUAACGGCUCACCAAGGCGACGACGGGUAGCCGGCCUGAGAGGGCGACCGGCCACAUUGGGACUGAGAUACGGCCA
rnacentral:rRNA from 1 species